rnacentral:rRNA from 1 species
GACGAACGCUGGCGGCGUGCUUAACACAUGCAAGUCGUACGGUAAGGCCCUUUCGGGGGUACACGAGUGGCGAACGGGUGAGUAACACGUGAGUAACCUGCCCACAACUUUGGGAUAACGCUAGGAAACUGGUGCUAAUACUGGAUAUGUGCUCCUGCUGCAUGGUGGGGGUUGGAAAGCUCCGGCGGUUGUGGAUGGACUCGCGGCCUAUCAGCUUGUUGGUGGGGUAGUGGCCUACCAAGGCGGCGACGGGUAGCCGGCCUGAGAGGGUGACCGGCCACAUUGGGACUGAGAUACGGCCCAGACGCCUACGGGAGGCAGCAGGGGGGAAUAUUGCACAAUGGGCGCAAGCCUGAUGCAGCAACGCCGCGUGCGGGAUGACGGCCUUCGGGUUGUAAACCGCUUUCAGCAGGGACGAAGCUUUUUGUGACGGUACCUGCAGAAGAAGCACCGGCUAACUACGUG